CCUACGGGUGGCUGCAGUAAGGAAUAUUGGUCAAUGGACGAAAGUCUGAACCAGCCAUGCCGCGUGGAGGAUGAAGGUCCUCUGGAUUGUAAACUUCUUUUAUAUGGGACGAAAAAAGGCUUUUCUAGGUCGUCUGACGGUACCAUAUGAAUAAGCACCGGCUAACUCCGUGCCAGCAGCCGCGGUAAUACGGAGGGUGCAAGCGUUAUCCGGAUACAGUGGGUUUAAGGGGGGCGGUGGUGGGGUGGUAAAAGCCCCGAGCUUAACUUGGGAACUGCCAUUGAUACUAUCAGUCUUGAAUACCGUGGAGGUCAGCGGAAUAUGUCAUGUAGCGGUGAAAUGCUUAGAUAUGACAUAGAACACCAAUUGCGAAGGCAGCUGGCUACCCAAAUAUUGACACUGAGGCACGAAAGCGUGGGGAUCAAACAGGAUUAGAUACCCGUGUAGUC
rnacentral:rRNA from 1 species